GGAAGUAAAAGUCGUAGCAAGGUCUCCGUUGGUGAACCAGCGGAGGGAUCAUUACCGAGUUUACAACUCCCAAACCCCUGUGAACAUACCUAUCGUUGCCUCGGCGGUGCCCGCUCCGGCGGCCCGCCAGGGGACCCCCAAACUCUUGUUUUAUACAGUAUCUUCUGAGUAACACGAUUAAAUAAAUCAAAACUUUCAACAACGGAUCUCUUGGUUCUG
rnacentral:misc_RNA from 1 species